rnacentral:rRNA from 1 species
GACGAACGCUGGCGGCGUGCUUAACACAUGCAAGUCGAACGGAAAGGCCCUGCUCUUGUGGGGUGCUCGAGUGGCGAACGGGUGAGUAACACGUGAGUAACCUGCCCUUGACUUUGGGAUAACUUCAGGAAACUGGGGCUAAUACCGGAUAGGAUCUCCUGCUGCAUGUUGGGGGUUGGAAAGUUUCGGCGGUUGGGGAUGGACUCGCGGCUUAUCAGCUUGUUGGUGGGGUAGUGGCUUACCAAGGCUUUGACGGGUAGCCGGCCUGAGAGGGUGACCGGCCACAUUGGGACUGAGAUACGGCCCAGACUCCUACGGGAGGCAGCAGUGGGGAAUAUUGCACAAUGGGCGGAAGCCUGAUGCAGCAACGCCGCGUGCGGGAUGACGGCCUUCGGGUUGUAAACCGCUUUCGCCUGUGACGAAGCGUGAGUGACGGUAAUGGGUAAAGAAGCACCGGCUAACUACGUG